GAAUGAAUAAGCCAGUUAUAAAAGGACAGAUUCUGUAGGAUUCUACUUAUGUGAAAUAUCUAGAGUCAAAAUCAUGGACACAAAAAGUAGAAUGGUGGUUCCCUGGUGCUGGCAGGAAGGGGAAAUAAGGAAUUGUUUAAUGGGUACAGAGUUUCGGUAUUGCAAGAUGAAAAGUUCCAGAGAUCUGUUAUACAAUAAUGUGAAUAUAGUAAACAUUACUUAGUUCUACACUU